ACCUCGCCACCCGCUCCGGGACGCCGCCCAGCGACACGGCCGCGGGGUCAGCGUGUCUGUACCGGUGCUGCAACGGGAGGGUCGGGCGGCGACGCUCUCACUGCCGGGCCAGAAGGAGGCCGCCCGGCUCCCUCACGCUAGAAGGGAGCUGGUUACCAGAGGUUUUCAGAGACGCCAAAGUUUUGCCAGAAUUUGUUGCAAGUACAUGAAAGAUUUUGUGGCUGAAGUAAUGUAAAACCAUUGAUCAAACCGGAAAUUGAGACACAGCCAGCGUCACACAACAGGCCAUCUGAAAGGCUGGAAUAGCAUCGAGGGAGUCUCCCUGGAACCAAGCAGCCAAGGCAGGCUAAUGGUGAAGGCCCAGGCACAGUAAUGGUCCCCUGGAGGUCACAUGCCCACAAAGUCAGCCCUGUCGUCAGGCCUUGGUUUCCUUGUCUGUCAAGUGGGAGAAUGGUAGCCACUGGCCAAAAGGGUGAGGGUGAGAAUGAGGUGGGAGCUGGUGGUAAGAGGUCCAGUGAACAGCAUGAGGAUGAGUCAUGAGUUGCUUAAAGACUGGGAUGCUUUCUAAGAAACGUGUCAUUUUGCUAUUUCAUCAUUGUGUGAACGUGAACACAAACCCAGAUGGUAUAGCCUACUACACACCUAGGCUAUAUGGUAUAGCCUAUUGCUCCUAGGCCACAAACUUGUACCUGUACUGAAUACUAGAGGCAAUUGUAAUACAAUGGGUCUCAUUUUGUCCCCCAGGCUGGAGUGCAGUGGCAUUUUCUCAGCUCACUGCAACCUUGACCUCCCAGGCUCAAGCAAUCCUCUCUCCUCAGCCUCAUAAGUACCUGGGACUACAGGCGUGCACCACCACACCUAGCUAAUUUUGUUUUGUUUUUUGUAGAGACAAGGUCUCACUAUGUUGCCCAAGCUGGUCUCAAACUCCUGUACUCACGUGAUCCUCCUACCUCAGCCUCCCAAAGUGCUGGGAUUACAGAUGUGAGCCAUGGCACCUGGCCAAUCUCUUCUUUUAUGGCUUCUGGAGUUUGAGUCAUAAUUAGAAAGGUUUUUCUACUCCAACAUUUCUUCCCCAUAUAUUCUUUUAAUACUUGUUUUUCUCUUUUUUCACAUGUUUAUCUUUAAUACAUGUAUUUGGAUAUUCUGUAUUAUUUUAAGUAUUUCUUGUAAGCAGCAUAUUAUGUAGUUGAAUUUUGUUUUUAAACAUGAGAAUAUAAAACUAUUUGCCUUCAACAACUUAGCUUAAUUUGUUUAUAUAUAUUUCAUAAUAAUGUGGCCUCAUUUUACUUCAUUUUUGUGCUUCCUUAUUGCUUUACUUUUUGUUCUUUGCUAUACUUUUUAGGUUUUUCUUGCUUUUAGCUUCUAUAAUGAUUUUGAAGGUGAAGAUCAAGUUUGUAAUUCUUUAAACCUUUUUUUCUUUUGAGACAGGAUCUCGUUCUGUCACCCAGGCUGGAGUGCAAUGGUGGGAUCUCAGCUCACUACAGCCUCCACCUCCCAGGUUCAAGUAAUUCUCAUGCCUCAGCCACCCGAGUAGCUGGGAUUACCGGCACACGCUGCCACACACAGCUGAUUUUUGUAUUUUUAGUAGAGAUGGGAUUUCACCAUGUUAGCCAGGCUGGUCUCGAACUCCUGGCCUCAACUUAUCCACCUGCCUCAGCCUCCCAAGGUCCUGGGACUACAGGCGUGAGCCACUGCACCUGGCCUUUUUAAAUCUUUAGAUUAGUCAACCACAUAUACUUAAAUGUAUAUUUAUCAAAUUACCAAAGUCAGUAGAAGGUGCUGUUUUUUACACUGUACUGGCUGUGUUUAAUGGAUCUCUACUUUUGUCUGCAUUGUACAGAUGAGGAAACUAAAGCUCAGUAUGUUUAAGUAGUUUGCCCAAGGUCGCCCAAUAAUUUUUUUUUUUGAGGCGGAGUCUUGCUCUGUUGCCCAGGCUGGAGUGCAGUGGCGCAAUCUCGGGUCACUGCAACCUCCACCUCCUGGGUUCAAGUGAUUGUCCUGCCUCAGCCCACCGAGCAGCUGGGAUUACAGGCACACACCACCACGCCCGGCUAGUUUUUGUAUUUUUAGUAGAGACGGCGUUUCUCCAUAUUGGCCAGGCUAGUCUCGAACUUCUGACCUCAGGUGAUCUGUCCACCUCAGCUUCCCAAAGUGCUGGGAUUACAGGCAUGAGCCACCGUGCCCAGCCUAAUAAUUUUUAAUGAUCUCUGGAUGAUGAGAAAUUAGCAAGCUUAAGCCAGGCAGGGCAACCCCAGAGCUGGAGUGGAGGAAAUCUCGGCUAAACAACAGGGCUGAAAAUGAAGGAGGGGCGAAUUCCUCAAAGUAAAAUCCCUAUGGCCUCAUAACCUUUCAUUUGGAACUCUUGGAUUUUUGCCAGUCUGAUAGGUGAGAAAUCAUAGCUCACUGUAGUUGUGGUUUGCAUUUCUCUUAUGAGUGAGACCAACCAUCUUUUCAUAUAUUUGGAAGCCAUUUGCAUCUUCAUUUAGAUGAACUGCCUAUUCAUAUCUUUUGCCCACUUGGGAGGUACUCAGCAAAUAACCACUAAAUCAAAGCUUCCUGGAUUGUUUGUUUGUUUUGAGAAUACCAAACAGAUGACUUUUAGAGUUUUAUUCUUUCUUACAGAAAAUCAUUUCUGAGAUAAUAAACUCUUCAUCUGAACCUUCAGGACAAUUUUCUUCCUGCCGGUGCUGUGAGAUCUUCUCACAGAUUCCAUAUUGAUUGUUUUUGUUCACUCUCUCUUGAUCAGGUGGAAAUAAAGCCAGGCUAAGGACUGCCCCCUGAUCGUUUCAACCUUAUGCAGUAAAGCUUAAUAAUUGUGGAAGUCUCAUUUCCACCAUUGGACAGCCAGUGUAGACACAGAAAACGAAGCUGACCGGGGUCGAUUAGGGGAAUUUUCAUCAUCAUAUCAUGGCACUUGAACAGCACUCUGUGUAUGUAAAUUCAUUUAUUAUGUGUGUGCAUUUGUGUAUAUAUAUACACUAAAUGCAUAUGUGCUAAAUUUAUGCACACACAUUAAUUUAGUUCUCACAACAUUUCUGUAAACAGUACUGUAAACAGUACAAUAUUCCUGUAAAUAGUACUUUUACUGUUUCCAUUUUACAGAUGACCAAGGUGAGGCACAGAGAGGUUAUAUAACUUGUCCAAGCUCACACAGCUAAAAUCUGGUGGAACCAUAACUACCUACAUGAUCUGAUCCCAGAAUCCAUUCCCUCAAUCAUUCUGACCGGCUUGGAAGAUAAUUCCUGUGUUGUUAAGCUAUGACCAAACAUCCAUCUGGUCACUGCUGCCCCUGAGUCUCUGGGACUGGUGUAGGCAGUGGGGAUUAGUCUCUCUUAUCUACUUUGGAACCUUCGGUUCUUCAUUCAUUAAUUCAUUUAAUCCUCUGAUUCAUUCAAUAAAUAUGUAUUGAGUGCCUACUAUGUGUCAAGUCCUGUGCUGGGUGCCAGAGAUACCAAGAUAAAUUAGAUAUGGCCUUUGUCCUUAAAGGCCUUGAAGGGUGGGGGAUAAGACAUGGUCAGUUAACGGCACAGAUGACACAUGCUGUUCUGUUCCAAAGGGAGUAGCAGGUGGUGUGUUGUCUAAGAAUGUGUUUCUCAAUCUGGCCCCAUCUACCAUCUGGUUAGCGCAAUUUCUCCCUUGCACUUUACCCUGUGAUCUUCUCUUAUCUUUAGUUUCUAAAGCAUCACUGCAAGCUUUUGGAUUUCUGCAUAUCUUCUUGAGCAUUUUCACAGGGUAUGGAGAUUAGUCUCAUCAGUCAUAUCUGCUGUCCUUUUUUUAUCAUCCCAGGAAAGUGGCCUUGUUCCUGUAAGUAAUGGGAAGCCAGGGAAGGAUUCAGAGUAGGAUAGAUGGGCACUUUAGAAUGACCACUCCAGCCGUAAUGUGGAAAAUAGACUGAAUGGUGGAGGUAAGAUAAGCAGCCCAGUCUGAAAACCGCUCCAGUACCCAGGUGGAAUUAUCUGAGCAAAGACUGCGGCUGGGGGAGACAGGAGGGUAUGGAUUCAAUGAAUAUCAAGCAAAUGGAAUCAAAGGGACUAAGUAAUUCAAUCAACAGUGUUUAAUUAGCACCUGUUAAGUGCCAGGCACUGUGCCAGGUGCCCAGAAUACAGCAGGGAACAAGAUAGACACAGCCUCUGCCUUCAUUGCAUCUAGAUGGGGAAAUGGACAAUUGGAGCCUUUAGAAUAAAAGAUGAUAAACGAUGCAACAGAGGACAUCAGGGCACUGCAGGAAAACAGAAGGGGGCACACGAGGGGGCGUGAGGGAAGAGUCCGGGCUGAUGCCUGGAUUUCUGCCUUGGCUGCAGGAGUAUAUGAUGGGGCCAUCGUCUGAGCCAGAGAAUCCAGGAGGGCAGAACCCUAUGGACGUCUCUCUGGGUCCCCCCAAGCCCAGGCCAGGGCAGGAGCAGGGGAGGUGGUGAGCAGAGACUGUUGAAUGAAUGAAUAAAUGAAUGUGGGCAUGUGAAUACUCCCCAGCCCUCAGCCCGGCCCUGAAAGAGGAAGAUGGGGAGUGGUCCUGAAAGAAACUAGAAGUUUCAGGAAGCCCAGUGGUUACUCAACACCCACAAACCGUCAGCCUCUUCCCAGUUACCCAACGGGCCAUAUGAGGCAGCCGUGACGCUCCUGAUGUCCAGCAGGACGAGCCGGGCUGCCCAUGACUCUGUAUCUGGGGCCUGGAUAGCAGACAGACUCAGCAUACCCCUGGCUGUUCUGAGGCCACCAGUGUGGGCCCCAAAGGCUAUUGGAGACCUUCCUGGAACUGGCAGGGAAGGAAGAAUUAGACCUCCAAAUUCCCUGGGCAUGUGUUCCUAGAGUUGGGACCCUUCCUCUGGCUCCUGCAUUCUUGAAGUGUCCCCCUGCCUCAGCACCAAGCCUCCUGGGCUGGGCCUGGGUCUGUUUGCCUCUAUCCAAAAGCAGAAAUUGAUAAUUAUCUUCUGUGUGCCCAGUGCCCAGCUUGGACAACCCCUUCCCCCCAGCACAUGAUAUAAAAUUUCUCUUCUUUCUCAUUUUACUUUUUUUGUUUGUUUGUUUUGAGACAGGAUCUCUCUCUGUCAUCCAAGCUGGAGUACAGUGGUGUGAUAAUGCCUCACUGAAGCCUCAACCUCCUGGCCUCAAGUGAUCCUCCCACCCCAGCCUCCCAUGUAGCUGGGACUACAGGUGUGCCCCACCAUGCCCAGCUAAUUUUUCUAUUUAUUUUUUUGUAGAGAUGGGUUUUUGCCAUCUUGCCAGGCUAGUCUCAGAUUCCUGGGUUCAAGCAAUCUGCCCCCCCUCAGCAUCCCUAAGUGCUGAAAUUACAGGCAUGAGCCUCUGUGCCCUGCCAGGAAAUGUUUCUUUAGUUCAGAGAGAGGUGUACCCUAAGCCCAGGGGCCAGGCUCCCCCACCCUCAGGAGAAGGAAGGUUCAUCGGGAGCCACAUAAACACCAUGUUGUUGGCAUGUGGCCAGGAUACCCAUGGUUACACCAUGAGUGGGUGGGCCUAGGCUCUGACAGCCUCUGACCCAGGGUGGGGAAGGCACCAACCCACUGCCCCACCUCUACCCCUGUCCGCUGUCCAUAUCUGAGUGUCCUGAAAUGGGAGAAUCUUUGAAUCUAAAGGAUAGAAAGGCCCUCUGUGGUCUUGUUGUCCACCUGCCCUUUUUUUUUGUCUUUCUGGCCCAUCCAUUCUCCUUAAUAAUCAUUUACCAUCCCUCGAAAAAUUGUCUGCAUUCCUAUCUUCUCCCUCCCCUAUGAAAAAGGACAUAUGAGCUUCUGUACCCCAUCUGGGGCUUGGAAUCGCCACUCGAUAGUUCUCCCUCAUGCACAUUAAUGAAUGUGUCUGCCUUUUCUCCUAUUCAUCUGCCUUUGGUCAGUUGAUGUUUCAGCAAAUAUUUAGAGGGCAAAGGGGAAGUUUUCCCUUGGCCUCUAAAGUCUCUGGCCAGGUGUUUGCCAUCAGCAUGGGAUUACAUGGAACUGGCAGGGAAAGACUUCUGUGGCUUCUUUGGCUCCUGUCGCUGCUAGUAGGUUGCAAAAGGGCCUAAUGGCCUCUGGUAUAAAUGCAGGUGCAUUUGUGUGUGUGUGUGUGUGUGUGUGUGUAUGUUUAACUUGUGUUUAUUUUAUCCAUAGAUGUUUAUAUUAGUAUAUAUUACGCUAUAUAGUUAUAUAUAUACAUAUAUAAUAGCAAAAUGUAUAAGUAUACAUAAAUGGAUAUUUUGUGUGUGUGUGUGUGUGUGUGUAUACAUAUAUACAUUUCUUUAUUUAUGUUUUAUUAUUAUUUUUCUUGAGAUGGGAGUCUUGCUCUGUCACCCAGACUGGAGUGCAGUGGCACGAUCUCAGCUCACUGCAACCUCCACCUCCCAGGUUCAAGUGAUUUUCCUGCCUCAGCCUCCUGAGUAGCUGGGAUUAUAGGCACGCACCACCACGCCUGGCUAAUUUUUGUAUUUUUAGUAGAGACGGGUUUCACCAUGUUGGUCAGGCUGGUCUCGAACUCCUGACCUCAUGAUUCGCCCUCCUUGGCCUCCCAAAGUGCUGGGAUUACAGGCGUGAGUCACUGCGCCUAGUCACAUAUGUACAUUUCUUUUUCUUCUCACAUAUAUGGGGAAAUGCCACCAGAUUGGCAGACGGUGCUACAAAUUUAUAUGUAUAAAUAUCUAGAUUUUAAUUUUUAUUUACUUAUCUAUUGAUGCAUAUAAUUAUAUAUAUAACAUAUUUCUUAUAUACUUAAAAAUAGAAAUCUUUUAUUUGUGAGUGUAUAUAUAUUUCUAGUUUUGCCUUUCCUUGUGUCUGUACCCAUAAAACACUCAAGGGACAGGCAGCGCCACACCGUUUCUUGAGAGCAGGUUCUGAAACCCUGAGUCUCCACUGACCCUUGUUCCUCUGGUCUCGUGUGAGGACACAGUUGUACAUUGGACUCUAGAUGUCAGAGCCAUUUGUUCCCAUGGUGUCUCCAUGAGGUUGAGCCCCCACUCUAGGAGAAAACAGCUGUUUCGGGGCGAAUGGGGGCAGCAAAACCCAGAUGGACCUGGUAGUCUCAGGCGGUCUCACAUUCAAGUCCUAUCUGAUUGCAACUUCUCUGAGCUUCUAAGAAGAGAAGGGGCUCUUCUUGGCUUGUGCAGCCAUACACUUGUCAGCCUAGGCUGUGAUCUAAAGGCUGGCUCAAAAAAUCACUUUGCUCCUCCCUUCUGAAGAAUCCAAACUGACCUGUUCAGGCCCUGAUUAUAAUGCCCUCAGCAAUGGGAACUCACCUUAACCUGGGACCUGAGACCAGCCUUCUUCCCGAGACCUGAGACCUGAGACCAGUCACUUCCCCAAGGGUCUCCUCCCUAUCUCCAAGGCCACAGAGCCUUAUCUUCCCCCCACAGCCCAGAACAGUCCAGGAGAGCCAGGGGAAGGGGUGGGGAUGAGGCCUCUGCCAUCCCUGAGAGAUGAACAAGUGAGCAGUAGCUCCUUUCUCCAUGGCCACAGUUAAAGUGUCAUCACAUGCAAUCACUAAACCAUCAGUGGGGCCACUGAAAGGCAAGAGACACUGAAAGGCAAGAGACAGGCCAUUCUGCCAAGCGGGAAGCUGAAGACUGUUUCAAGGCAGUAUGCCAUGGUGGUUAAGAGCGCCUCUGCUAGAUACUAGCUGCGUGACCCUUAAUCCUUCUGAAGUGGAUUUUCUUGCUGGUAAAAUGGGAUAAAGACGCCUGCCUGGUAGGUUAGUGUGUGGAUUAAAUGACUGUGUGUAAAGAAAGGGUCAGCCCAAUGCAUACUAGGGAGGUGUUCAGGGAAUCCAUGCUUUCCCAUGGCAGUGUCGGAGGCUGUUGCCACACAGCCACACACACCACAUGGGCUCCCCAGGUCCCCUUCUAGGCAGCCCAUGUUCCCUGCCCGGGCUGGGUUCAUCCAGGCUGAUGGCCAAAUGCAGCCUCCGCCAGGAGGGGAGAGGCCCACUCCACCCUGGGGAUUGCCCGAUCACAUUGGCUGUGCCCAUCUUGUGGGCUCCCCACCCUUCAGGUCUUUUCCACCUGAGAGUGGGCUAGGGCUCUCCUUCCUGCCCUAGAAUCACUUAUUUGUCUGACUCUUCAAGCAAGACGUCAUGCGUUUACCGAAAUUUCUCAACCACCUCCUGGGAACAAGGCCCUGGCAGGGAGAUCCAGGGGCCCAGAAGAAACACAGAGUAGGGAAGGGGGUGGGGCACACAGUUCAAUUAGUUCUCAAGUACUAAACAAAGGAUUUUGUUUUUUCUGACGCUAGAAGUAACACCUCUUCAUUGCAGAGUAUUUGAAAAAUACAGAAAAAUAUAAAACAGAAAAUAAAAAAUCCUGACAGUCCUGAUUCACACAGGUAACUGACAUUAAGAUUUUGUUGUGUUUGAUACUAAGGUUUUCUAGGCAUUUUAACCUGGUCAUAAUGUAUAAUACAAUUGUGUAUCCUGCCUUUUUUUCAUUCACCAUAAAGGCACAAAACCUUUUCCUGGGUUUUUACAAGCCAGCCAGUUAAAUUAUACCCUGUUGAUUUAAGCUAAUCUUUCUGACAAAAAUCCUUAAUUUUCAUUGGGAUUUAGCUGUUUCUUCCUAGGAUAGCACAGUGCUGGGUGCCAGCCUGGAGGAAAAGGAGGAGGGAGGAGAAAAGAGGAGAUAAAACCAACACCAAGGAGAUUCAUGCUUUCUGCCCCUUUCUUCCCCUCAUGCUAAAUAUGUUUCUCAGUAUGGGAAUGCCAGGGCAGCCACCUGACUCCCAGGAUCACCUGGACUCACCUGAGGUUCUGAAUCUUUCCCCUGCUCGCUUUGCACACCCAACCCUAAAGUGAAGAGAUCUCACUCCCUGCUAGGAAAAAUGCCUUCCUCUGUGGGGGAUAGCCCUGCAGACCCUAGGCAGCAAAGAUUCUGCUCCAGCCACCCUGCUCCCACUCAGUCCUCUGCCUACUUGUCACAUGGCCUGGUUUUCAGGCCUCUAUAGCCUGGUCACCCUCUCUUGACUCAGCACAUACCCCAAAGUGUCAGAAAGGUCCUAGAGCUCCAGCUGGGCCUGGCUGAGUGUGGAGCAGGGUAGGGCAGUCCCUUCUCUGUUCUGGAUGCUAUGCCUCUGUUAAUGCAGCCUGCAUUUGCAUUUGUUUGUUUGGCAGCCUCUGCCUUAGCUCGUGUAGGGCUUGUGGUCAGCUCAAACUCUGAGCUCCUUUUUGUAUCAUUGUUGGUAAACCAGUUCUCCCAUAGCCUGUGUUUGGGCAAUCUUUUGAAGAAAUCACACGCAAGCCUUGAUAUAUUUCCCAUUUUAAAUAUUUGCGUUGAUUUUUAGCACCCUUCCUGACUUUUUGUCAUGGGUGAACCUGAUACAUGUGCGCCAUGUCUUUAUCCAACCUGUUGAUGAAAUAAUUACCUCAACCUGGCCCAAGACAGAAACUCCCUUCUCACAGGCCCUGGCCCAUAACCAGAGCCAUAAGUUUGAUCAGCUUCCUAAAAGCCUGUGAGGAAAUACCACCUUCUUUAAAAAUCAAAUCAUGCAUUAAUAUUCACCCAAAAUAAUUGAAAUCAGAUACCUAUACAUGAAUUGUUCAUAGUAGCACUAUUCACAAUAGCCAAAAGGUAGAAAUAACCUAAAUGUCCAUCAACAGAUAAAUGGAUAAACAGAAUGUGGCAUUCAUACAAUGAAAUAUUACUCAACCGUAAGAGCAGUAAAGUUCUGAUACUGCUACAAAAUGGACAAACCUCAAAAAAAUAUUGUGCUAAGUGAAAGAAGCCAGAUACAAAAGUCACAUAUUAUAUGAUUCCAUCUAUGUGAAAUAUUCAGAAUAAAUAAAUCCACAGAGGCAAAAAGCAGAUUGGCGGUCGCCAGGGGCUGAGGGGUAGGGGAAACAGAGUGACUGCUUAAGCAGGUUUUCUUUUGGGGUGAUGAAAAUGUUUUAGAUGGGCAUAGUGGCUCACAGCUGUAAUCCCAGCACUUUGUGAGGCUGAGGCUGGUAGAUUGCUUGAGCCCAGGAGUUCAAGACCAGCCUGGGCAACAUGGUGAAAAAUAAUACAAAAAAAUACAAAAACUAGCUGGGCAUGGUGGCACAUGCCUGUAGUCCCAGCUAGUCAGGAGGCUGAGGUGGGAGGAUCACCUGAACCUGGGAGGUGGAGGUUGCAGUGAGCUGAGACCACACCACUGCACUCCAGCUUGGGUAACAGAGACAGACCCUGUCUCAGAAAAAAAAAAAAAAA